UUUGGUGGAGGCACCAAACUCAUCGUUGACUUGGGAGUGGUGCAGCCCACGCUGAGCGUCCUCCCUCCCUCCAGAGUGGAGCUGGAGCAGGGCAGUGCUACACUAGUGUGUACGGCCAGUGGGGGCUUCCCCUCAGACUGGAAGCUUGGCUGGAAGGUGGGGGGCAGCAGCAGGUCUGGGGGGGUGUCAGAUAGCCUGGGGGUCCAGGGGAAAGACGGCCACUACAGCUGGAGCAGCACCUUGACCCUCCCUGCAGACCAGUGGAGGAAGGCGGGCUCAGUGACCUGUGAAGCCAGUAAGAAUGGCCAGACGCAGCCUGUCACUCAAACCCUGAAUCCUGGAGAGUGUUCAGAGUAGAGAGGCUCCAGCAUGGAGGUACUGGAGGAUACAGAUCUCCUCUGACACGUCUGCUCUAUGAAUCUCUGUCUCAGGUGGCACUGUAGCUUUUGUUGAUUUACAAUAAUAUCAUUGUCGUCUUUGAUUCAUCAACAUUAUGCUCUCUGGAUUUUACCCCUUGCUUGUGUUGGUCACAUGUUGACCAUUUAAUAAAGAUGUAAAGAAUAAAUCCUUUCUUGUCA